UUUUCAAUGCACAUACAUGCCUAAAACAAAGCCUUCUAUGCAGCUUUCCAGGGGAACAUGAGUUGCAGUCCUCAAAUGCUUUCUCAGAAAUUAAGACAAAUUUAAGUUCCGUACAUAAGGAUUAAAUAUUAUUAACUGAACAUCCAAUCACAUUGGAAAACAAAUAAAAACCACAUAGCAAGUUUUUCUUGUUAUUCACAUUUAACAAAAAGAGUUCUCUAAUCUAUAACUGGCCACAUGAGCACAAACUGAAGUAGUUCUAUCUUUCAUUGCUGAAGGGAAAGAUAACUAGAUGUUUUCUAUUAAAAGAGGAGAGAAGAAGCCUGUUUAGGAACUAUCCUUAGCUAGAAAUCAGCUGAUCUACUAAAGCCUAAAAGGAUGACAGUAAAGUCAUGUGACGCCUAACAAAUUUGAAUGAAGAAACAGAACAAGGAAAAACACAAAAGAUUUGAUCAAAUUUGUCAAAAGAGAAUAAGAUGCUCACUUAUCCUUUCAAUGUAAGAAAAAAGAAAAAGAAAAUCCUUGGGUCUAUAAAAGAGGACAGAACAACAUGCCCGCUACAAACCAAUCCAGCAAUUCCCACCCUUCUCGCACUUCCUCACCUUUAAGCAAGGAGACAAGUACCAAUGUCUCAUGCUCAGCCCCUUCGUUUCCAAGCCCAGAGGAAACACGUCAAAUUUCAGGACAACCAAGCCAAUGCUAUGAAGGAUGGGGCAGCACCAGGCACUAGCGACAAGUUGGGGCAUGGCCACAGGAUGAAAGAUGAUGUGGACACAAUAGCUUCAGACUUCAUCAGGCUUAAGCACAGGGCUUGGGCACUCCAGAAGAGCACAACCAUGUAUCCAGCUUCAACUUAGAAGUGAUAUGGUUCAACUUGUCAAUAGUAUCUACUUAUGCUUUGUCUCUAUAUAGUCUAUAGGUCCUAGUUUGAAUAACAGAUGCUGCUUGCAGCCUUGGAUAGUUGCAGAGUCAAGUUACCGUGGUGUUGUUGCUAGCACUACGAAUAAGUGUGUAAUCUAUUAUGUGCAAGACUGAUGUAUGGAGUACUUUAAAUACGAUAAUGAGGGUAUUACUAUGAUCCUGAUAUUUGGACUUGUUUAUAUUUGGAGUGCUAAGAUGUUAAAGAAUAAUUAAGAAAUACUCCCUUCAUCUCAAAUUGUAGGUCAUCUAGUGUAUGUCCACAUGCAUAAUUAUAUGUAUGGAUCUAGAAAAACCAAAACGACCUACAAUUUGAAACGGAGGGAGUAUCAGCCAUUCUAAUGAUAAUUAAGAAAACUUUGCUGAUAAAAUAGAUCUGACAAGAAGGCCGUAAAAAAUUCAGGUGGAUGAGUCUUGGCAUGCUCAUAUGAAUUUCACACUAAUCAAAUCAUCAAUGAAAUAGCACAUUAGGUUGAUAGGCUCUAGAAAGGAUCAAGUUCAACAUACAUCACAUGAUCAUACAACAUAGAUAUUACAACAGAUCAACUAUUAAGUUGUAUGUAGUUACAGUAGACAGGUAAUGCAAGUAACACUAGUAACACUACUAGUGGUUACAGCCAUGUAAUCUAAUUCUGAAACUGAAAAUGGUCUUAAGCUUACAAAGCAUAUCAACAUGGUGCUCAAAAUCUGGGUGCAAGUGUGUUGACUCAUUUGGAUAAUUUUGCAAGGAAAGCCAACUGCAUAGCUGCGAUGAUGCUUGCAAUACUUAAUAGAAAGAAAAAACAGCAGUUUGAGGAUAUGCUACUUGACACCCUCCUAAGUUGAGUUAUAUGGGAAUAUGACAGAAAGACAUGGGAGCGCCGUAUCCUGAAAUUCAACUUACUUGAGUGGAAUAUGAUAUCCUUAAAAGAUAUCUGGCAAAAGAAAACCUCAUCUAUUUGUUCUUAUCAAGCUAUAAAUAUUUUCCACUCCGAUGUGAGAUGAACUGUGUUAAUGAAAUAGAUUUGAGAAGACAGCUGUAAAAACUUUAAAUUGAAGAGUCUUGGCAAACUCAUAUGGCAAGGGAUCGUAUCACCACAAAAUCAAACCACCAAUGGAUCAUAUAGCACCUUCAUAGGCUCUGGAUAUCUGGAGCUAUAACUCCACUGUACAUAUACUUAGUAAAGUUGCAGAUACAACACCAGAUCAACUGUUAAGUUGUAUGAUAAGGCAGCCCCAAAAAGAAGCUACCAACACGAACAAACAAACAUUUAUCUCAAGAUAGACAAGUAACACUACUGGUGGUUACAGUUGUAUAAUCUUAUUCUCAAACUGAUAAUGGUUCACAAUUUACAAAGCAUAACAACAUGGUGCUCAAAAUCUGAGUGCAAGUGCUUUGAUUCAUUUAGACCAAUUUGUGGGAGAAGCCAACUGCUUGCAACAUAAUACUAGCAGCAAUGAAUAGAAAAGGAAAACUGCAGUUCUGAGGAUAUGCCACCCUCCUAAUUCAAGUCAUAUGGAGAAUGUAUCAGGGAUACAUGGGACUGAUAGAUCCUGAAAUUCAACUUAGUUGAGUGGUAUAUCCUUAAAAGAUAUCUGAUAAACGAAAACCUCAUCUAUUUAUUCUCAUCAAACUAACCAAGGUUACUCAACAAUGCCAAAAAGCUAAGCUUUCACCAUAUGCUCACCAACCGUUGCUUGCUUGAACACCAUUCAAGAAGCACUCUCAACUUUGACUGAUUCAAACAGUUUAGUGACGUGGGGGUGCUUGCGGAUAUGGAUAGGGCAUUUGUACAGUAAAUCUUGAGCCUCAGAAUAUCUUCCCUCUGCAAAGAACGACUUGAGAACAUGCAGGUAGGUAGCAGGUGCUGGACACUUAGUAUUCACCGUCAAGGCCUUCAGAAAGUCCCUUGCAUCUUCAACCAUCCCAUGCUUAGCAAUGUAAGGAGGGAAUGGUUCCGUGAAAGGUGGGAAACUGCGGGCUUUCAUUGACCUCAGAAGGGCCAGUGCCUCACCAAGCUUCUUUAGCCUCAGCAGCUCAUCAAUUACAUGCUUGUAGGUGCCUUGCCAAGGCCUCAGAUGAGCCUUGUCCACCAUCUGAACAAACAAAGUGUAAGCAGCAUCAACCUUUUCAUGGCUACACAGACCUUUGACCAUCACAUCCAGCAAAUCCGCGUCUGCAUCCAAGUUCUUGUCUAUCAUCUCCGUCAAGCACUGCAGAGCUCUGUCCACGUCUCCAGCCGCACAGUGCCCUUGGACCAACAUGGUCCAAGUCUUCAAAUCUGGGAUGCACCCUUCAGCCUCCAUUUCAUCAAACACUUUGCGAGCAUCGUCCAACUUGCCAGCCUUGCAGAGACCAUACACCAAUUGGCUAUACGUGACAUUGUCUGGCUGGUGACCUUCUGCUCUCAUCCUUUGCACAACCUCUGCAGCCUCAUCAAAGCUCCCGUUGCUCGUGAGCACCCUGUGGAUGGCAUCAAACAACUCCUUGGUCUUUUUGUCCCACACGGACUCAUACUUGCUGACAACCCGAAUGGCAAGGUCAAGGUCUGGCGAUGGAGACAGCGAGAUGCGCCUGAUGAUCAGCGGCGCAUCCUUCUGCGCUGGCUUGAAAGGACCAUCCAUCAUGUGCUCGUAGAGCUCCACAGCCUCCCUGAUCAUAUGCCGCUUCUGGAAGUUCCUGGACAGCUUGACAUAGGUGUCGAUAUCCACGUGCACCCCGGCGGCCUUCAUUUCCUGGAUCAAGUCCCAAAACUCGGGCACCGACUCCUCCCGUCCGAGCGCCCUCGCCAUGGCAUUGUAGGCCACGGAGCCGUGCUUGUAGCCCUGCUGACGCCCAGCCCAUCGGAAGAAGGCGAGAGCCUUGGUGGGAUAGUCCCUCAGCUCCCGGAGCACCUUGGCCACGGCGGUCUCCGUGAGCGGGAGGAGGCCGAUGGUGCCCAGCUUCUUAUCGAGGUCCGCGCCAUCGAGCUCCCGGACGGCCUCGGCGGCGGCGGAUGCGGUGCCGCCCUUGGCCUCUUCCCGGGCCUUGUUGUAGUGCGCGGUGAGGGCGGCGUAGUCGGCGGUGAGGCUUGCCUUCUUGAAGGAUGCGAGUGCGGCGAGGUAGGUCCCCUGGUCGACGGGGUAGCCAGCCUCCUGCAUCUCGCGGAUGAAGGGCCAGAAGUGGCUCUGGGCGGAGGACGGGUCAGAGGCGAGGGUGCGGAGCAUGAGGUUGUAGGCCGCGGAUCCGACGGGCUGGCCGGCGGCGGCGGAGCGGCGGAAGAAGGCGAGCGCGCGGGAGGGAUCAGUGGAGAGGUUGUGGAUAUUGUAGAUCACGGCCUCAGGGGUAGCUGCCGUGGCGAUGGCGGUGGAGAGGAGGCGACGGUGGGCGAGGAGGCGGCGGAGGGAGGGAAGCGCCGCCAUUGCCGUCGUGGGGUUUAGUUAGGGGUUGCCUCUGCUUCUUCUCGCUUCUGCGGCGGAGGAAAUGGGUAAUAAACAUGGGCUGGGCCAUUCCUGCUAAGUAAGGGGCGGACGGAGGCCGAUUCGGGCCCAAAUAACCUUUUUUUCCUUGGGAGCAGGGCCCAAGUAACUUUGGUAAAAGAAUGGGCCGGUGAGGUUAAGGUUCUCUCUACUAGAUAAAGCCAGCCAGAAGGCCCUCAAACCAAAAAACAAAAAACUUGGAGCACAUGGAUAGUCGACUCGCACUGGCAUUAGCCAGCCAUCCAAUGACAACACAGAAAUCAAAAGCUCAAAAAGGCAGAUUGAUGAAUUGCUAGUGCACAAGACAAACUAAAGAAGAGCAUGCAAUGCAUGAUGACCAUAGUUAGGAAAAGCGGGCAAGAGCAUGAACAACACUAAUUCCUAGCUAGCUUGGACGAAAAAACAAGAAUGGGAAAGACUAUAAACAAGAAAGACUGAACCUUUCUUUCUGACGAAGAAACAUACAAGAAUGGGAAACAUGCAGAAAGGUGAUGGAGCUGAGUCAUCUCCAGGUCGAUUCGCCGGCUUGUAGCCUAGUUGUAGCUCGUAGGGCAAAAAGGCACUUUUUCUCUCACAGCUUCGCUUCACUUUUCCACCCUUUGCUGUCAGCUGUCCAGAAAAAGAAUCAGGCUGCAGUGCCAAUAUAUAUGCAUAGAGAUCGUGCAUUCAUUCGGUUUAAUUUGUCAGGGAAAAAAGGGGCAAAAUUUCCCCUUUUAGGUUCUGGUCACUCCUAAACUAAACCUAAGAGAUCGAUGCAAGACUAAUAAUUAGGUAAAAAGAAAAGAUUGUCAGUUCAUGGCAAGUGGGCUAGCGGUGGUGUUAGGUCAAGAAGAAGUUGGACAGAUGUGUGGUGAGAGGUAUCUGGAUAGCAAUAUCAACAGCAUGGCCAUGCAUGCUUUUGCCUUGUUUAGUUGCCAAAGUUUGGAGGUGCCAAAUUACUGUUACAGCACUGUAGCAACACUGUAGCGUUUCGUUUGUAUUUGUGAAUUAUUGUCCAAACAUUGACUAAUUAGGCUCAAAAGAUUCGUCUCACAAAGUACAACAAAACUGUGCAAUUAGUUUUUAAUUUCGUCUACAUUUAGUACUCCAUGCAUGUACCGUAAGUUUGAUGUGACGGGGAAUCUUCUUUUUGCAUAGCGCCAAAGUUGGGAGUUGGGGGUGAACUAAACAAGAGCUUAAUUUCUCGCGCAUAUGACUGGAUCCAAGAACUCACUUGGUUCCAUUGAUUAAUUUAUGAUGAGUCAGGUCAAACUGCAUUUGGUGGAUAGCUAUAUAUGCAGCAUUAAACUAAACUGAGUUCCUUGCAGAUUUUCAGGCAUUUUAUGUACUAUAGCAAAUUAAAUUAAAGAAGAAAUCAUCAGCUUUAUUUAUUUCUUUUCCAGUUUUAUAUAUUAAUUUAAUUUACAUGCAGAUCAAAGCAACAGGUUGCACUUUAGUAAUUACUAGUACUUUGAUAGAAUGGGACGGAACUGAUGAACAAGUGUGCCACUACUAUAUACACGUAGUUUGCUAAUGCACGUGAAACCCAAGAAUGCUGCUCCACCUUCUUUAUAUAUAUAUUCUUUUAUUUGGGGAGGCACACCAUAUAAUUAAACAACCUGCAGCUGCUCUCCAUCUCCAGUACCUCGUUCAUUCUAGCUCGAAAUUUUCUGAAAUUUAUACGCUGCUCCCCAUUACUGAAAUUUCUUGAACAAUUACUGAAAUUUAUAGCUGCUCUCCAUUUUAUACGCUGCUAGCUCUUGAACAAUUACUGAAAUUUCUUGCGUUUUGCGACUCUGUGGCAAAAAGUCAUGCAACUGUAUGUAUUAGUACCUCGUUCAUUCUAGCUCGAAAGCGACUCCUCCCGUAGGAAGAGGGAUUGGAUUACAUUCCUUGCGCCUCACGCAGCCUCAAGAGCCUCGUCCAUCUCCUUUAGUUUGCAUCCUUCUCCGUUGCUUUGCUUGCUUAGCUUUUGGCCUCCUCUCCUUUUCGAUGUAAAUAAACUUUUGAGUCACCACCAACAACAACACAAAGCAGGGAACCAUUUAUUUUAUUUGUGUGGCCACGUACAACAGAACAAGGCAGGGCAGGGCGGUUCAGAGCAGCCCAUAUAUAAACACACAAGAGGCUGAGCAACUCCGAAUGAUCCAACUGGUCUCCACUCCCUUUGUGCUCUGCUCCAUCUCUUCAGUUUGUUACACUACUGCUAGUGCCCUCCUCUUCAUCUUUGUUGUUGAGGCAGUUUAGUCGGGCUCGAGCUCAGCAACAGCAAUGGAGGUGGAGGCUUGCUACAACUAUGGCUUCCUCCCUGCAGACAGAGGCAGGCACCAGCCACCACCACCACCACCCCACCCGGCAGGUGGUCUUCUUCUUCAGCUGUUUGUUUGGUUUCUGAUUCCUUUUAUCUUCCCCUUCUCAGCUCUUGUCUCUUUAUCGUUCCUUCUCUGGGUGCUCCGUUCAUUCUCAAGACACAAACCAGUUCAUUGAUUCUUUUUUUGAGGGAAUUUUAGAUUUGUCCUCGCCUUUUCCCUUUUAUUUUUCUCGGAGGAUCCUGCCUCCUAGUGGGUUCUGUGUGUUAUAUGCUGUUUCAUCAGAUGCAAACAAUAACAAAAUUUCCCUCAAGGGGAACAAGAAAACUAGUUUUCUUUCUUGUUUUUCCUUUUGCUUUCAUGUGAUAAAAUCACCCUUGGAAUCUGUAGCUUUAUAAUAUAGCAACAAGAAAGAUUUGCCGUGCGAGAUUGAAAGGGGAACUCUGCGCCUUUUCCUUCAAUGCAAGGAAUCUUUUGGGAGACCAAAAAGCUACUGCUAGUUUUAACUGAUUAUUGAUUGCAGAAGAUGGUGAGUUGUGGGAGUACUUCCCUUGCCCUUUCUGCUACAUCGAGGUUGAGGUGCCCUUCAUCUGCAACCACCUUCAGGAGGAGCAUUGCUUUGACACCAGAAAUGCUGUAAGUGUUCAUCUCUCCGAGAGCAGAGCCUGUUUGUUGCAAGUAUAGCUCGGCACCAUCACUCACAAGUCAUAAUACCUAGUAUAUAUUAAUGAUGAUAGUCUACGACAUUGAAUACUGAAACAUAACUGUUUGCCGAUGACCUUUUAGGUUUGCCCGAUCUGCGCCAACAAUCUAGGGAGAGAUAUGGCUGCACAUUUCAGAGUUCAGCACUCGCAUCUUCUCAAGGUACCAUGAGCGGCGACGAGUAGCAGUAGCCUUCCACCAUAGCUGUAGCCAUGAACUAAUUGGUACGGUGAUGAAUCAUGACAGAGGAGGAAACCUUCCAAGCCAUGCGCAUGGCCUGAAGCUGCUACCAACUCAGCAUCUGGGAAGGGAACAGCAACAUAUGAACUGAACCCUUACUUUGAGGAGCCCCAGCAUUACAGGAUGAGCAUCGGCAGGCCAUACCAAGAGCCUGCCCCUGACCCACUGCUCUCGCAGUUCAUCUGCAGCGUUGAGCAAACCCACGACGCUGAGAACGGUGCUGUAAAGACCCCAGAUGAUCAGAGGUAUGUGGUAAUUCAGAUUUUCAAUGCAAGCAUUGCUGUAUCUGUAUCGAUCCGUGAGUUAGCUAAUGAAUCUUGUUAUUUCCUGUAUAUCCUACUAGUAGGUGCAGAAGAAAGGCAGCGAGUGAUGACGCGUCAUCCAAGCUGGGUCUGCAGGAGAGGUUGCAGAGGAUCGACUUCCUCACGGAGAUACUCAUGUCCACCAUUCUUUAAUGUGUUGCUGCUAUCUAGGGUUUCUUGAGCAGCUUUAUUUAGGCACUGUUAUUAUAUUAGGAUGUUACUUAUGUGGGUAUCAGCUGUAUCCAUACGCAUGAAUGUUGCAUAUUCUAGCCCAACCUUGUCCAUCUGAAUUGUUUUGUGCACAACUCUUGUGUGCUGCAAUGCUAUCAGUUCUGAAUGCCCAACAAUAAGAAUAUAAUUCUACAUUGACAAACAUAAAGAAUCCACCGUUCACAUGAGAACCUCCCAGUUAGAGAUUUAAAGUUACGAACAUGCCUUCUAUUGUCAGAGUAAGUAAUACCAUCAUAACCAGUUCCUGAUAAGAACAGCCCGUGUGAAACAUAUAUACAGGAAAAAAGGAUCAGCGAAUUUUGAUUAACAUAUAUAUAAUUAUCUCGUGUGCUCUACAUAUAUCAUCAAUAUCUAAAUCUACUCCAAGGGCUAUUGGUGGACAAAAAAAAGCCAAUGUGUGUAAUUAACAUCAGAAUUUCAUCCUACGAGACAAAUGUUACGUUUGGAGGAGUCACGCCCAUCAUCUCGUAAUAUGCUUUCUCAGCCUCCGCCAUUCUUGUCUGGAAAAUUCCCCAUUCUUUCCGGCAACGCUCUCUUACCUACAUAGACAGUACCACGAUAAAGUUCAGCCAAAACUUUUCAUCAGCCUCAACACACCCCUUUACAGAUGUCAUUAUUUAAACAAAGUCUAGGAUUCAUACCCCUUCCCAUGGUGCCCUCCCGUUCUCUGACUGCCCCUGUGCAUUUUCAAGAUGGGAAAAGGUUGACAUUAGAUAUAGCAAACUUGGGUGCUACAGUUAAAUCUGAUACUACACAGUCUGCUUCUUUUAUUCUUACCUGGUUCCCGAGAGAAGGAACCACUUGGUGCACAAUCCAUUGGGAAUCAACAACACCGAUUUUCUCAUGAGCAGGCUGCAAAGAAGUUUUAAAGGCCUUAAUUGAAUACAGGGACAAUAUGUUCAAAAGCUACUGAAAAAGUUUUCCUUUUAGUGAAUAAUUGAAAACGGCCAACAAGAGAAACAAUCAGAAAAUCUCUUCAAUGCUUUGACAUGUUGUGAAGUGCUUACCUCCACACAUUUCCGGAGAGCAAAAUCGAGACCCCAUCCAUGAAUCAAGUCAUUCUGCAAUAACAAGAAGAUAUGAACCAAACCAAGCCAAGUGAACAGUCAGAGGAGAGCAGACACUGAAAUUAUGUUAUACCUGAAUCAUAUGCCACACACAUCUCCAUGCAUCUCUGGAGAAAACUGGAGCCAUUAUUUCAACAAACCUGUACAUGAAACAGAUACAGUUAGUCCCUUGAUACCAAGGAACCAGAGUAGGCAGAUUCAGCUGCUAUGGGGGCAAAAUUACAUACCCAGCGCACGGGGGAACAUGAGGAUCUGAGCACCAGCCUUCCCUCUCCUCUGUAACCCUGUCAGAAUCAGUUUUGUAAGAUUCUCUUUUUUUUUCAUUUUCGACAAAUCAAUUUCCACAUCUCAGCAAAGAGGCUGAAAUCUGUAGUCCGACACCACGAUUAAAUUUUCUAUCCUUGUGCAAAGCAUAUUUUGGGAAACAAAGCCUCCAGCAUCACAACAUAUACAUGAAGCAACACAUUUUUCUAGAAGACAAAACAAAAUAGUUCACUGUACCUACAAACUAGAGAACCCGCCACUUACUUGUGAACCUGACGAUCCCCUCUUCUUUUGGUCAUCUGCCAUGUCAAUCCCUUAUCUGGCUCUAAACCAGGUUGUGAGAUUUCUAGUUGAUAUUUCUUGACAAGUUUAAUGUACCUGCAAUGUAAAUCAUGUUAGCAAGUCAUCUAAAAAAUGAUAUGAAGAAAUGGUCAAGUGAAGAUCAAAAACAUACUCAUCGCCAUUAAAAUGAUUGACUCCAAGGUCCUCAUCCCAGAUAAAUAUGUACUCAUAGGCUGCCACGAUAUCAGGGUGCAAGAACCUUUUAGCAUACCACCUAGAGGUCACGAUAAUCAGGACAAUUUAGAAUCAUCUUCCAAACUAAAAUAUGUGAAGAAUAAUAAAGCAUCAGAGCACACACCAUUUUGCUUGUUUCCGGGCGCUUACAUGGAUAGCUCGCUUUGACCACUCAAAUUCAUCCCAUUCACUCACUUGGCCAUCAUAGUGAAACAACAGGAUAGCAAAAUCACUAGAGAACUGCAACCAAAGGUCAAAACUAUCAGGCAGUUUGUCUAUAACUCCAUGGCAUGUGCAGAAUUAUAGACAAAUAUGCAGUUGCCAAAAAUAAAGAAAAUUGGAAGUAGUCCUUACUAGACUACAGAACAUGGGAUGUAAGAGCAAUGUCAGAUGUAAAUAGAUUAUUUAAAAAUUACCUUCUUGACAGCCCUAUUUAUGUUCUCUUUCUGUGAAAUGCCAACCGUGAAAGUAACAAGGUACUUUGGCUUGAAGGGUAGGUCCUGCAAAUUUAAAUAUCCGAGUCAGAAAGAAUGAAAUGCACACAUUGUAAAACUUGUGUGAGAACUAACUAAAACAUUAGGGUUAAAAGUGACAAAGCACCAUGGAUAGGAUGCCCAAAUUAAGAUGGAAGCAACCAGCUUUUAUGGAAGAUGAAGGGAAGAAUGCAAAAGGCUGGGCCAAAAAUCAGCAAGAAAUGAAGCAUAAUGAGCAGGACAAAUAAUAAGGUAGGAAUUCGCAGCAAUACUCAGAUCUCGAUCAAACGACAGCUUUCACCAGCUGUGCGAGACAGAUAAUUGAAAAGAUUGCAUAAGAGCAGCACACGGGCAUAAGAAUUUACGAGAUGACAAGAGCAAGCAUAUGCUAAUUCUUUCUUGCUGACAUGUGAAGGGAAGUAUUCAGCAUAACCUCAUCUCUUGGAGGAAUAAACCAUAACCUAGUGGGAAGGAAAAGAAGAAAAGGCAUCCCAGAACUGAAACACAAACAAUAUGGGACGAGAAGCGCAUACAAGAAUAAUUACCUCCUCUGGGUUUCCCCAUAACCUAUGGGGAUGAAAAUCAGACUCUGGUACAACAAUACCAGGUGCUAGGCUCUCUGCACCCCUUGGGUUUGUUGGUACAUAAAUCUACAAAGUUAUCAACCAAGAUCAUUUUUUUAUUUAACAGACAUACUAAAAGAGAAAGGAUCGCUCACAAAACAAAAAAAAAA
rnacentral:lncRNA from 1 species